AAUCUUAUUAUUGUAUUGUUUCUUGUACUAGUUAGAGGAGUCCUGUUAGUUUUUUUGUUUUUUAUGCUUUACUUAGGCUUUGAUGUUCAUAUUUUAAUUCAACUCGUGUGUGUUAUCUGUUGCAGCGGUGAGAUUUGUGUUUGAGGGUUUUGUUUUUGGUUCUAGCAAUUGAUUCUAUUGGGUUUAGUAGCGUACAGAUUUGCUUCAAUAUUGGUUUUGGGUAGGAUUUUCUUGUUUUUUUGUGUUUGAUAUGCAGUGAUUUUUUUUACUGUUUGGUUUUAGGGUUUGAACAGGUUGAUUCAGUGAGUCUUGUAUGUCUCUAAAGAUUAAAUCAAUUUUGUGCAUAUUGUUAUUCUGACGCAGAUUCUAGGUCAUCUGCUUUCUAAUAAACCUUUUAGGUUUGAUUCUACUUACUUUAUGCCUGUUUUAUGUUUGAUAGUCAGUUUUUUAUGUUUUAUGUUAUAUUAAGUGUGUGCCUGUUCACUAUUGAGCCCAGUUGAUGUUUUUAGGUGUAUUGAAUUUUUGGUAUAUGUCCAUGGUGUUGAUACACUUUUGCUUUUUUGGGGUAUUUGUGCAAGUUUAGUUACAUAGAGAUGCAAUUUGUUCAGAUUUAGUCAAGAUUAUGGAGGUUCUUUAUGUAAUUUAUCUUCUUCUAAGUUACCCAUCUAGAUUAGGAAUUCAUUUCUUUGAGAUAUAAUUAGAUUGUAAGCUUUUAUAUUUUUAUAGUUAAUGUAGGUUGCUCAACUUGUUUUAUGCCCCGUUGGGUAAUUACAUAAAAAAAUCCUUUUUAUGAUUGCUUCAGAAUGAUGGCCAACACAUGAGAUACAGCAGGAUAUGGACCCAAUAAUUAAAGGAAAAGGGGGUGUGUGGUCAGAUUAUCAUUUACCUUGCAAUUACCAGAAGCAGCUUGUUCUCCAGAAAUAAGGGCGAUCGGAGAAGAAUCUGUUUCUAAGGAGGAAAUUUUAGGACAAGAUCUACAGAGAGGUGACACGAAUGCAGCAAAAACUGAGGUCACCAUCACCGUCCGUGGCUGGGAGGUAGAGGUCGGGGAAGAAAGAGGAUGGAAGAAGACCUAGUGAUCUCAGCGUUAGGUGGAUCGCUAUGUUUUGAGUGGAGUGGGUUGCUUAGCGGGUCCAGGCCGGUUUUGCGUUUGGGCUUAAAAAAGGCAGAAACAGAUAACGUAAAUUUCUUCAGUAUGUUUGGUUGUUUGCCUGUUGGGCUCGUUUCGACUGACCUUAAUUCUGGUUCAGUCAGUUUUCA